rnacentral:rRNA from 1 species
GACGAACGCUGGCGGCGUGCUUAACACAUGCAAGUCGAACGGUGAAGCGCCUUCCUUUUUGUCUGGUGGGGUUGAGUGGCGGACGGGUGAGUAACACGUGCGUAACCUGCCUCCUUCUUCUGGAUAACCGCAUGAAAGUGAGGCUAAUACGGGAUAUGCUGGGUCUGUCGCAUGAUGGGUCUGGUGCAGAUGUUGCUUCGGUAGGGGAUGGGCUCGCGGCCUAUCAGCUUGUUGGUGGGGGGAUGGCCUACCGAGGCGGUGCCGGGUAGCCGGUCAGAGGGGGUGGACGGACAAAGAGGGAGAGAGACACCACACAGACUCGUGCGGGAGACAGCGGGGGGGUAUAUGACACGAGGGGCGAAAGCCUGAUGGAGCGACGGCGAGUGAGGAAUGGAGUCCUUCGGGUUAAGAACCUCUUUCGGGAGUGAAGCAGGCGAGCCUCGAUAGUGGGUUGGUUGACGGUAGCUGGAUAAAAAGCGACGGCUAACUACGUG